UAAGGAAUAUUGGUCAAUGGACGCAAGUCUGAACCAGCCAUGCCGCGUGGAGGAUGAAGGUCCUCUGGAUUGUAAACUUCUUUUAUCUGGGACGAAACACUUCUUUUCUAAGAGGCCUGACGGUACCAGAUGAAUAAGCACCGGCUAACUCCGUGCCAGCAGCCGCGGUAAUACGGAGGGUGCAAGCGUUAUCCGGAUUCACUGGGUUUAAAGGGUGCGUAGGUGGGUAUGUAAGUCAGUGGUGAAAUCCCCGAGCUUAACUUGGGAACUGCCAUUGAUACUAUAGGUCUUGAAUUAUCUGGAGGUAAGCGGAAUAUGUCAUGUAGCGGUGAAAUGCUUAGAUAUGACAUAGAACACCGAUUGCGAAGGCAGCUUACUACAUAUAAAUUGACGCUGAGGCACGAAAGCGUGGGGAUCAAACA
rnacentral:rRNA from 1 species